rnacentral:rRNA from 1 species
CAAUAGCGUAUAUUAAAGUUGUUGCGGUAAAAAAGCUCGUAGUUGGAUUUCUACCGAAGAUAGCCGGUCGGGUCUUCGACCUUGUAUCUGGUUUUGUCUUUGGUAUCCUCAUAGGGAACGUUUCUGCGCUUUAUUGCGUGGUGCGGUAUCUAUGACUUUUACUUUGAGGAAAUUAGAGUGUUCACGGCAGGCAAACGCCUUGAAUAUAUUAGCAUGGAAUAAUAACAUAGGAUCUUCGUCCUAUUUUGUUGGUUUCUAGGGCUAAGAUAAUGAUUAAUAGGGAUAAUUGGGGGCAUCUGUAUCAACGCGUCAGAGGUGGAAUUCUUGGAUUGCGUUGCGACAAACUACUGCGAAAGCAUUUGCCAAGGAUGUUUUCAUUAA